rnacentral:rRNA from 1 species
UACGUAGGGGGCUAGCGUUGUCCGGAUUUAUUGGGCGUAAAGAGCGUGUAGGCGGUCUGGUAAGUCCGCUGUGGAAAGUCGGGGGCUCAACCCUCGAAUGCCGGUGGAUACUGUCGGGCUAGAGUGCGGAAGAGGCGAGUGGAAUUCCUGGUGUAGCGGUGAAAUGCGCAGAUAUCAGGAGGAACACCUAUUGCGAAGGCAGCUCGCUGGGACGUAACUGACGCUGAGACGCGAAAGCGUGGGGAGCAAACAGG